UACGGAGGGUGCGAGCGUUAUUCGGAAUUACUGGGCGUAAAGGGCGUGUAGGCGGCUUUGUAAGUCAGAUGUGAAAGCCCACGGCUUAACCGUGGAACUGCAUUUGAAACUGCUUGGCUAGAGUACGGGGGAGGGUGGCGGAAUUUCCGGUGUAGGAGUGAAAUCCGUAGAUAUCGGGAGGAACACCAGUGGCGAAGGCGGCCACCUGGACCGUAACUGACGCUGAGACGCGAAAGCGUGGGAAGCAAACAGG
rnacentral:rRNA from 1 species